rnacentral:lncRNA from 1 species
CAUACUGUUCGCAUGGUAGUGAAUAAGUCUCAUGAGAUCUGAUGGUUUUAUCAGGGGGUUCUGCUUUUGCAUCUUCCUCAUUUUUCUCUUGCCACCACCAUGUUAAGAAGAGCCUUUUGCCUCCCACCAUGAUUCUGAGGCCUCCCCAGCCAUGCAGAACUGUAAGUCCAAUUAAACCUCUUUUUCUUCCCAGUCUCGGGUAUGUCUUUAUCAGCAGCAUGAAAAUGGACUAAUACAGUAACUUGGUACCAGCAGAAGGGGUGCCUCUGAAAAGAUACCCAAAAAUGUGGAAGCAACUUUGGAACUGGGUAACAGGCAGAGGUUGGAACAGUUUGGAGGGCUCAAAAAAAGACAAGAAAAUGUGGGAAAGUUUGGUACUUUCUAGAGACUUGUUGAAUGCCUUUGCCCAAAAUGCUGAUAGCAAUAUGGACAAUAAAGUCCAGGCUGAGGUAGUCUCAGAUGGAGAUGAGGAACUUGUUGGGAAGUGGAGCAAAGAUGACUCUUGUUAUGUUUUAGCAAAGUGACUGGUGGCAUUUUGCCCCUGCUGUAGAGAUUUGUGGAAUUUUGAACUUGAGAGAGGUGAUUUAGGGUAUCUGUGGAAGAAAUGUCUAAGCAGCAAAGCAUUCAAGAGGUGACUUGGGUGCUAUUUAAGGCAUUCAGUUUUAAUAAGGAAGCAGAACAUAAAAGUUUGGAAAGUUUGCAGCCUGAAAAUGCAGUAUAAAAGAAAAAUCUAUUUUCUGAGGAGAAAUUCAUGAAAGCUGCAGAAAUUUGCAUAAGUAAUGAGGAGCCGAAUGUUAAUCCCCAAGACAAUGGGGAAAUGUCUCCAGGGCAUAUCAAAGGUCUUCAUGGCAGCCCCUCCCAUCACAGGCCCAGAGGCCUAGGAGGAAAAAAAUGGUUUUGAGGGCCAGGCCCAGGGUACCUGUGCUGUGUGCAGUCUAGGGACUUGGUGCCCUGCAUCCCAGCCACUUCAGCUAUGGCUGAAAGGGGCCAAUGUAGAGCGUGGGCUGUGGCUUCAAAGGGUGCAAGUCCCAGGGCUUGGCAGCUUCCACAUGGUGUUGAGCCUGCAAGUGCACAGAAGUGAAGAACUGAGGUUUGGGAACCUCAGCCUAGAUUUCAGAGGAUGUAUGGAAACGCCUGGCUGUGCAGGCAGAAGUUUGCUGCAGGGGCGGGGCUCUCAUGGAGAACCUCUGCUAGAGCAGUGCAGAAGGGAAAUGUGGGGUUGGAGCCCCCACAGAGAGUCCCUACUGGGGCACUGCCUAGUGGAGCUGUGAGAAGAGGGCCACUGUCCUCCAGACCCCAAAAUGGUAGACCCACUGACAGCUUGCACUGUGCACCUGGAAAAGCCGCAGACCGCAGACUCAACGCUCGCCCAUGAAAGCAGCCAGGAGGGAGGCUGUAUCCUGCAAAGCCACAGGGGCAGAGCUGUCCAAGACCAUGGGAACCCGCCUCUUGUUUCAGCAUGACCUGGAUGUGAGACAUGGAGUCAAAGAAGAUCAUUUUGGAGCUUUAAGAUUUGACUGCCCCACUGGAUUUCAGGCUUGCAUGGGGCCUAUAAUCCCUUUGUUUUGACAAAUUUCUCCCAUUUGAAAUGGCUGUAUUUACUCAAUACCUGUACCCCCAUUGUGUCUAGGAAGUAACUAGCUUGCUUUUGAUUUUACAGGCUCAUAGGUGGAAGAGACUUGCCUUGUCUCAGAUGAGACUUUGGACUGUGGACUUUUGGGUUAAUGCUGAAAUGAGUUAAGACUUUGGGGGACUGUUGGGAAGGCAUGAUUGGUUUUGAAAUGUGAGGACAUGAGAUUUGGAGGGGCCAGGGGUGGGAUGAUAUGGUUUGGCUCUGUGUCCCCACCUAGAUCUCAUUUUGAAUUGUACUCCCAUAAUUCCCACAUGUUGUGGGAGGGACCUGGUGGGAGAUAAUUUGAAUCAUGGGGGCAGUUUUCCCUAUACUGUUCCCAUGGUAGUGAGUAAGUCUUACAAGACCUGAUGGUUUUGUCAGGGGUUUCUGCUUUUGCAUCUUCAUCAUUUUUCUGUUGCCACUGCCAUGUAAGAAGUGCCUUUAACCUUCCACCAUGAUUCUGAGGCCUCCCCAGCCAUGUGGAACUGCAAGUCCAACUAUACCUCUUUUUCUUCCCAGUCUCAGGUAUGUCUUUAUCAGCAGCAUGAAAACGGACUAAUACACCUACAUUAAAGGGCAGAGAAGAGGCCGUGCUGGUUCAUCCAUAUAACUCAUGGGAUCAUUAGGAGGUUCUUAAGGCUGGGUACAGGGGCUCAUGCCUGUAAUCCCAGCACUUUGCUGGGUGAAGGCAGGCAGACUCACCUGAGGUCAGGAGUUUGAGCCUGGCCAUGGUGAAGCCUGCCUCUACUAAAAAUACAAAAAUUAGCCAGGCGUGGUGGGGCACACCUGUAAUCCCAGCCAUUCAGGAGGCUGAGGCAUGAGAAUCGCUUGAACCUGGGAGGUGGAGGUUGCAGUGAGCCAAGAUCAUGCCACUGCACUUCAGCCUGGGCAAUAGAGCGAGACUCUGUCUCAAAAAAAAAAAAAAAUUGUUCUUAUGAAGCCUGAGGCUAGGAGAGAAUUGGCCAGCAGGAGGCUGAGUUCCACCUUUCUCAUUUCGUCAUAAGCACGUUUAAAGCCAAGAAACAGCCUUGUGAACCGCCCAAACAGAACAGUGAGCUGUGAGGUUGGGUGUCGUUUGCAGGCUCCCCAGGACUGGCUGAGGAUGCCUUGAUGUGGCACUGAUUAGAGAUGAUCCCAGAGACCACACAGAUGUGAACAGGACUCCCCUCUUCCGUGGGGAACAGAAGUCCAUGAGAGGCUGGGUCUGAAGGGCAGGGCGAGGGUAAAGGAGACAGGUUUGGCAGCAGCCUGGAGGGCUAUAGGUGCUUUGCCCUGUGGCUUUAACAUCAGAUCCCCAAGUAUCCCUGACCUGGGGGAGGAGCUGCCAACACAAAGUCCAGAAAGGGCAGGGCAUAUAGGUGGAAGCAGAAAUGCCAAUCAGGAUGAGUGACAGGGAUGAACCAAAGUUGGGUUCAAUAUUCUGGACCUGGGUGACUGGAGGAAUCAAAGCAUUCUAGAGUUAGAAGUGGCCUUAGAAUAUUUAAUCUUGUGCCUAGGACUAGAUAUUGUGCUUCAGUGUCCCUGAGACCUCCUCCACCUCAAACUUGUGGCCUCCUGAAGGAAAGAAAAAGAGACAAACACUAUCUAGGAAGCCCUGGGGUCCACCAGACUCCUCGGCAGCCACUCUCCCGACUGUGGCUCCCAGGAGAACCCAGUCUCAUGGCCUAGCUGAGUAGCAGAGCACUGUGGAAAGGCUGUAUGGUUGCUGCCCUGCCUCUUGCUGCUCUGUGACCCUGGGCUCGUGACUUCACCUUGCUGGGCCUUCUUUCACCAGUAAGCUGAAAAUAAGCUUUGCUGCUAGGAUAUUAAUUGGUGACAUGAGAUAAGGUUUGUAAAACACAGGGCACUUGCCUGACAUCUACUUCCUCCUUGCCAUCUGGAAGCCUCCAGUAUAACACCUGCCUGAAGUCAUAGCUGAAGUACAACAUGUUUCUGACAAUUAAAUGUAACAGACAUAAUUUCUAGGGCACCCACUGCAUUGGACAAUGUGAGACAGAUGGACUAAGUACAAGACAUGGACCUCUACCUCUGAAAAAAGUAGCAUCUUGGUUAAGCAAAAGACACACAAGCACAAGCUUUUUAAAUUAUGAAACUAAUACAGCUACAUGCAGAAGAAUUAUGAAUCAAAAGGACUAUUGGGAUUUAGAAGGAGAGCUUAGCAGAGUUGGAGGGCUUCCUGGAGAAAAUGGGCUCUGUGAUAGACUCUGAAGUGCUGGUAAGGCAUGGAAGGUGGGCAGCUUUUGCUGUGAGUUGUCCAGGAACAAUGGCAAGAGCAAGGUGUGGGCAAGAGCAAGGUGUGGGCAAGAGCAAGGUGUGGGCAGGAGUGGAUUCAGAGCCCCACUGGAAUAGAGUUUUGAAGUCAUGGAUGAAGUGGGCGGAGAGAGGUCUGAAGAGGUUAGGAGGGCCAGGCAGUGGACUGGAGGUGCCACACCACCAGCAAAAGACCAAGGAUUCUGUUCUAAGGGCCAACCAAGUCUGGAGGCACAGAUUUCAGAGUGAGGGAGUCACAUGAUGAAAAAGGAAUGGUGGAAUAGAGGGGGAUGUUGGAUGGGAGGAGAAUCUAGAACAAUCAGGGUGAGUGACAGGGAUGAAAUGAAGUUAGGUCCAAUAUUCUGGGCCUGGGUGACUGGAGGAAUCAAAGCAUUCUAGAGCGUGAAGUGACCUUAGAAGAUGUAAUCUUGUAUAGCCAUUCAGAAUAGGUUAAUGCCUUUCCUGGGUCCACGGCAAGUUCUUCCUCUCUUAGUUCUCUCAAGAGCUGGUUGUUGAAAACAGCCUAGCGCCACCCCUUCCCCUGCCAUUCUCUCCCUUCCUCUCUCACCAUGUGAUUUCUGCACAUGCAGGCUCCCCUUUGUCUUCUGCCAUGAGGGGAAGUAGCCUGAGGCCCUCAUCAGUUGCAGAUGCUGGGUUUCAUGCUUCCUGUACAGCCUGCAGAAUCAUGAGCCAAAUAAACCUCUUUUCUUCAUAAAUUACCCAGGCUUAUGUAUCCCUUUAUAGCAACACAAAUGGACUAAGACAGUACCCUCCCUAUGGGGCAGUGUCCAGAGAGAAAAGGCCAGAAGACCAAAGACUGAACCUUGAGUCCUGGGAACAGGAUCCAGGAGAAGGGGCAGUCAGAGGUGGGAUGCAGCCCAGAUGUGGUCAUGGUGAUCAAGGACGCAGUAGUGAAGGUGGUCAGUGCUGUCCACAGGCAUGGUACUUGGCUGUGAUCUCCCCAGCCCCACUGAAGCCUAUUACAGAUGGCUGCAAAUUCUUUGACACCUCUCCCACUGAGAUGGGGUGGGGGAAUCUUUGCUUCCUCCAUGUAAAUCGGAGUAGGUUCUGUGACUAAUGCCCCCCAUAGAAUAGAAUGGAAGUUUAGCUGGGCAUGGUAGUGCAUGGCUGUAGUCCCAGCUACUCGGGAGGCUGAAGUGGGAGGAUCGCUUUAAGCCCAGGAGUUCUCCAGCUGGGGCAAGAGAGUGAGAACCUGUCUCAAAAAAAAAAAAAAAAAAAAAAAAAGGAAUAGAAUGGAAGUAAUGUCAUGCCAGUGUCCAGUUCCAGCCUCUGAGAGACUGGCUGUUCUGACCUUUAGAAUCUGGGAGCACUCAGUUGUGGAACCCAGCCACCAUGUUGUGAAGAAGCCCUGUGCAGUGGUCCAAGUGACCAGGAGUCAAAGCUCCCAGCCAAUAGCCAGCACUAACUUGUCAGCAGUGUCAUGGAGCCCACUUGAAAGAGGAUUCUAAUUAUGCUGCCCAAGCUGUGGCCACAUGGAGGAGAGAUAUACAGUCCCUGCUGAACCCUGCUCUAAUUACAGGGAGACUUGAAAACCAGUGGUGGCGAGACUCCAAGACUAUUAUUUUUAUUUCCGGACAAAAACAUCUGCUUCACACAGUGCACGGCAUCAAAUGAAGAGGAAAGAACUUGUAUCCCAAAGCCUGGCUUUCUGUAUCAUCCACAAAUUAAGACAGCAUCUGCUGAGCCCAUGCUGAGCCUGUCACAGUCAACAACUGGGAAACCGGGGCCUCUACUGAACCAGGGGACAAGUAGCCGAAGCACUUAAACAGCUUGAUACUUGUUUUUUGGUACAUUUGUUUAUUUAAAGCACAGGAAAUGAAUAAAAUGCCACCUAAAAAGUAUCUGCAAUGAAUAAAUUAUUUCCAGUGAAGCACUGCAGAUCCACACACACCAGUCUGCUAACCUUUACCAAGGCCAUGUCCGGUGGGCUUGUGCUUGUUCCAGUUGACUCUUCCUUGAGACCUUUCCCUUCUGUGCAAUGACCACAGCAUUAGAGACCAGUCCUGCAUGCGCUGGCCUUCCUCGUAGGCAUGGCAGACCACGUGGAUGAGCAGUGGGCUGGCAUGCAGUAGGCUUCAACAAAUGGCACUUCACUGUUUCCAGUGACCCUGAAAUGUUUUACGUAAGUGGGGCCUGGGCUUUAAAGAAAAGAGCCAGGGUUCCUCAGGCUGGGCCCCUUCACUGAGGCACAGCUCCAGGAAAUACUGGUCUCAGGAGCCAGCAACUUGUCCAGGAGUUUUGAGCCCUCAGUUGAAGGAAAAUGGCCACGUGGUGUCCUUGCAGGCAACAGUGAUGUCGGUGAUGGUGACAAGUAGCCAGCCUAAGGAAGGCCAAUCCCACCUUGGGUGGAAUGCAGGGCACCUAGUCCUGCUUGGAAGGGGCUGGGAGGUUGGGGAAUGUCGAGAAUGGAGGGCUAGGGCUCCACACAGUGAAUUCAAAUAAGGGCUCUUCAGUGAGGGAAGGAAGCCGCAGCCCUCCUUUGGCCCUUUAUGCAGGGUCAGCAUCUCGGCUCACAAGGCCAAGGGUCACUGGGCAGGAACCAGACUUUCAGAAGGGAAAGGUGCCAUAGGCAACGCCAAGGGCAUGACUUAAAUAUCCUAUCCUCUGGAAAGUGUUCAAGAGGUCUUGCAGUACACGCCAUUUAGGAGACUAUAAAAUUCCUUUCAUUUAUGCCAUGUGAACAAGUUGAGGCGGUGCAUUUCCAAGGUGAAUUCAUUGAAUACAAUGAAGUACAUUUAUUUUUUGAAGGAAGUUUUUGCCGCAGAAAUAUUGAACUUGGGACUGUGCUGACAAGCUAUAACAUAAUCCCUCUCCUUCCAGAUCAGAGCAGGGGUGAGGAAGCAAAAGUCCACAGUUACUGGGCAGGUAAUUGGUAUAAAUGAGGGUGUGGGGCUGGAUGCGGUGGCUCACAUCUGUAAUCCCAGCACUUUGGGAGGCCGAGGCAGGAGGAUUGCUUGAGCCCAGGAGGUUGAGACCAGCCUGGGCAACAUGGUGAAACCCUGUCUCUACAAAAAAUACAAAAUUAGCUGGGCAUGGUGGUUUGUGCCAGUGAUCCCAGCUAUUUGGGAGGCUGAGGUGGGAGAAUUGCUUGAGCCCAGGAGGCAGAGGUUGCAGUGAGCCGAGAUUGCGCCACUGCACUCCAGCCUAGGCAACAGAAUGAGAUCCUGUCUCACAUUAAAAAAAAAAAGAAAAAGAAAAAGAAAAAAAAGAAAAAGGGUAAUGUGAGCACACAUUGGUCUCAUGGUCUACUCACCUGAUUAGAGAUUAAUCCCAGUCUUUCUUUUUCAUUACAAUAAAUGCAACCUGCAGGGGCAUUGAUCAGUAGAAACAAACACUCAGCCUCAUUGUGGGAAGUGAUAGGGCGUAGUGUGGGCUGUGGUGACCUGGUGAAGUGGACACCCCUUCUAAAGGCAGAGCUGGUGCCCAGCUCCAGCCAGUUGUUGCUAGGUGAGAAUGUGAGCCCCAGCAUGGCCAGAUCUUCUGAUCUGGGUUUUUUUUUAAGUGUUAGAGUCCGCAAGCUAAACAAAACAUCCCUGUGCGCCAGAUCAUUUUGUAGCCUCUCCUGUGGGAGUCAGUGGCAGGAAGGUGUGGUAGGCAGAAUAACAGCACCCCAAAGAUGUUCUGGUCCUAAUCCCCACCUGUGGCUAUGUUGUCUUGCAUGGCAAAAGGCUCUUCCAGGAUGAUGAAGGAACUUUAGAUGGAGAGAUUAUCCUGGAUCUUCCUGGUGGGCUUUGUAAGUCAAAGAGGGAAGUGGGAGGGCCAGUGUCACAGUGAUGCCAUGUGAGAAAAGCUUGACCAGCCACUGGAGCCUGGGAAUGCAGCCAGCCUCUAGAAGCUUGAAAUGGCAAGGAACCGGCUUCUCCCUAGAGCCUUCAGAAGGAGCACAGCUCUGCUGACACCUUGAUUUUCAUUCAGGGACAUCCAUUUUGGAAUUCUGAUCCCCAGGACUAUAAGCUAAUGUGUUGUUUUUAAGCUACCAAGUAAUAGGUUGCAGUGGCAACAGAAAACUAAUGCAGGGGGCCACUGUUUGGUAUAUAUUUAAACAUUUUUAGAGGAUGAGAAUAUUCUCUAAAUUUCUCUUUAAAUGUCAAAGUAUUGCUGCAGCUAGGAGAACCGCACAUGGAAACUUGAGGAAAUUUCUCUUAUUGCUAGGACUAUAGGACAAUGGGAUUCAAGAUGAAUUUCCACAAUGGGAUAACCACGAACCGACCUAGAGAAUCAGGAAGUCUCUUAUCAAAGCAGAUAUGUGUCAAUGCUGCUCAAACACACACAUUCUUUUCUGGUUGGACAGAUUGUAAAUUAUUCCCACCACCUGGGGGACAGGCACACGUUUAUCUAGCGGUCAGUAGAAGUCACAACCCAGGCAUCCAAACCAGUUAGUAUGAGUUAUUACUAAGUCAGGUGAAAAGAGCUAGGUGGUUAUACAUUUGAUCUCUUAAAUAACACAGGACCACCAAAUAAAUAAUAAUAAAAAGGCACAUUGUCGUUUUCAUCCUGGGGACCCCAGUGAGAGUAGGGACCUCAGGUAGGCUCCUUGGAAUUGGAACUGUUGUCCUGAAGAGGGCAAGCCUCUGUUUAACACUCUGAAUCCAGGGCUUGCUGCAACCCUAUGCUAGGUGACUCAGGCCUCUCUCCUCUCAUUACAGGCUGGCUAACCGCACAGCCUAAGUUGAGGAGCACAUGAGCUGUCAUGACUGUAUCCAGAUUGGAAUUCAUCAUUUUCAAUGUCUUGCCCUUAGAAUGAGUCCACUGAGCAAUGUGAAGUUGGCGGUGUCCAGGAAAACCUCCUGCUGUUCCUUCUGUAUAAUUCCUCUUCUUUAGGAUUUCUGGUUAGGAACACGGACGGGUGUCUCAGUGCCCUGCUUUAUGAAACUCAGCAAAGCGUCUGGAAUGGAUCAAGUUAUUCUGCUGGCUCCAUGGGCUCCUGAGUGUUCAGUAAGGGAAUGUCUGUGUCCUUGCUGCUUACAUCCCCAUUGUUGGGAUGGGAGAAGGUGUACGGUUCACUCUCAGACUCAGGAGGGGAGCGAGGAGGUGGCUCCUCAGUGGCCAACUUUGCAGUUGGGGCCCUGGAGCAUAUGGUGGGUGGGGAGGGAGGACAGACCCCCAUGGUGCCCUGGAACGGCCGGUAGGUGUCCACCUCUGGCUGCAGGAAGGAGCCGCUGGAAUCCUGUAGCAGAUGCCCAUAUACCAUGGUGUCCUCGAUGACUGCAUACACAUGGGAGUCAUUGUCCUUUCGCCCUUUCUGAAACUUUUUUGGCUGCCUCGGCAUCUCAGUAUUGAUGUUGUCAUUGUAGAUACCCACAGCGGGGCCCUUGUUUGUCUUCUUUUUCCUAUUUGGAAAAAUGGAACAAGACAGAAGUCAGAAAGGCAAGAAUCUUCGAUGGGUACCAUUGCUAUGGCCCUGCUAGAGCUUGGAUUCUUUAGGGUUCUGACCAUGUCUCCCCCAAAUCCCUCAGAUUGCUCAGCAUUUGAAACUGAAACUACUGUCCUCAGUGAACAUUUAGAAGGGACCUGAUUUUGUCUCCAGUUUUCAAAGUGGAAACAGAGAUCACAGGUAGUAGAAGAGUGGUUUAGAGAGGGCACCUCUAUCACUAUCUGUGCUCAAUUCGUUUUUGAUAGAUAUGCGGUAUCCAAUGGUGGAGACAUCUGACAAUCUCUUUCCCCUCCAUUCUACCAGAAAUGGGCAGUGUCCCAGACCUUCUCAACCACAUCAGGCUCAGUCAUGCCUAGGUCAAUCCUCCCGCACUCUUAGUACUUUCCCGUAGCUCAUGCUUUAUCUCUCUUUUGCCUGGGAAAAGCUCUGACCAUCUAGAUUUUAAAUGGCGAUACAAGAGACUCAGGAGGCCAGGUUGUAUCUUAGUUUUCAGUAUGAGCUGGGGAGAGGAUAACUCAGCAUUAGCAGAGAGACCCAGUGCCUCAGUAGUCACCCCCAACAGAGGAAAGAGCUAAAAAGAAGACAAAAUUCAGGCUGCAGUGCCAGAGUUCUUCAAUAACACCAUUAGCAUUUGGUUUAUAAUGUUCUUUGGUACUUGGACCUGCAUGGGCAUUAGCGCUUGCUGCCACAGAAAACAAAGCUUUGCUCUCCAUCUUUGUGAACCAAACAGCAGGGAAUGCUGACUUUUUAGCUGACCAGUGAUGCAAAUGGAGGACAUUAGCUCAAUUAGCGUAAUGGGCCAUAUAAGGCACAGGCUGGCAGUUCAUAAUGGUGGACAGGCUGUCUGUACUUUGCUGAGAUAAAAAUAAACCUGGUACCUUCAGCUUGUAACGCUGAGCCCCUGGCCAGGAGGAUGGGUUCCUAAGGCUCCUGCCUGAAGCCCUGUAAUGUUUGUCCCCACUAAAGCUCUUCUCAUGCUAUCCUGAAACUGACUGUUUAUUUGCCUGUCUUUUCAGUCCCCCUGCCCCCAUAGAAGAGAUUGUCUCACUCAUCAUUGUCCCCAGUACCUCAAUGAAUCCUAGUGCCCAGGAGACACUCAGGAAGUACCCGCUUAGUGAACAUGUUAGAUGGCAUUGUCUCUCCUCAUUCUCACUGCACAACCUGUCCAUCCUCCUACAACAGCUUGGGCACGGACAGGCCUUAUGCAAACCUGCCAGCCAGCAGCCUCACACAAGCAAGGCCUGUAGCAAGGCUGGACUGACGAUUCUCAGGCUUAAACUGGCGCUGUUUCAAGAUGAGGCAAGUGCUGGAUCUCGUUCCUUGUCCAAUUCCCUCCUGAUAAGGAACCUGGGGCCCAGUGUUAAUGCCAUGCUUCCCCAACUGGGUGGGCUAUUCCGUGCACCGCAGAUGGGAAAAUUCCCUGAGAGAAACAGUAACAUGAUGUUUCCUUAAAAGCAGUCCUUUUUCCCCCAUGUGUUAUAGGUACAGCCACUUCUCAUGGGGAAAAGACCUCCUGCAAGCCAGUCCUUCCUCAUCAGCAGAGACAUUUGUAGACAGUCUUGUUGUAGACUAGGAAUUUCAGUUCUUUGCUCAGGUCCACAGUUAAUUUUUAAAAAAGAAUUUUUUGGCUGGGUGUGGUGGCUCACGCCUGUAAUCUCAGCACUUUGGGAGGCCGAGGCGGGUGGAUCACAAGGUCAAGAGAUCGAGACCAUCCUGGCCAACAUGGUGAAACCCUGUGUCUACUAAAAAUACAAAAAAAAAUUAGCUGGGCGUGGUGGCGGGUGCCUGUAGUCCCAGCUACUCGGGAGGCUGAGGCAGGGGAAUCGCUUGAACCCGGGAGGCGGAGGUUGCGGUGAGCCGAGAUCGCGCCACUGCACUCCAGCCUGGCAACAGAGUGAGACUCUGUCUUAAAAAAAAAAAGAAUUUUUUCAGAUUGGCUUUUUGGAAGGUCAAACCAUGUUAAGGAAAAUAGCUCUCUUCUCUCUCCCAUGACUUUAGUCAGAAAUAUGAGCAGAAUUUAUACAGUUUGGCGGCAGCACGGACUCUGUCUAAAAAGGUCAACAUUUUCCUUUUAUAAAAUAGAAGCUCAGCCAGGUACGGUGGCUCAUGCCUGUAAUCCCAACAUUUUGGGAAGCCAAGGUGGGUGGAUCACUUGAGGUCAGGCGUUUAAGACCAAUCUGGCCAAUAAGGUGAAAUCCCGUUUCUACAAAAAAAUACAAAAAAAAUUAGCUGGGCGUGGUGGUGUGUGCCUGUAGUCCCAGUUACUCGGGAGGCUGAGGAAGGAGAAUCACUUCAACCCAGGAGGCGGAGGCUGCAGUGAACCGAGAUUGCACCACUGGCAACAGAGCAAGACUCUGUCUCAAAAAUAAAUAAAUAAAUAAAUAAAACAGAAGUUGUCCUCCUGAGGGGAUGGAAAGAGAGACUGAGGCAGUUAACUGGGCCUUCCUUCCUCUGGGCCACAGGCCUGGCCUCUGUUACAUACCUGGAGCCCAACAGGCAAGGAUAAAGCAGUUUGCUUAAGAAACUGCAGGAGAACAAGCUGGGACAACACACAUUCGUUCUCCUUAGGGUGACGGAGGGAGUGGUUUCAGAGGCACAGUCUGGCAGAGCCUACGUGAGCAUUUUCUUGCCAAGAUCACUCCUGCUUGAUCAAUCUACUGAGCAAACAGCACUCUGCUUGCAGGGGACUUGUGCUGAGGCAGCUGCACCAUGAACUACAUACAGGUGAAAAUGUCACGUGUGUUUUAUCCCCCCCUCACCCCCAGGCAUGGGAUUUUUUUUCUCCUGAAAGCAUGACUCACACCUGGCAAUAUUGUUUAACAUUGAUCUUUGGGGGAAAAAAUGGGAAGCAAGAAAACAAAGUCAAUAAUGAACAAUCCACCCAGUCUGUGUGAUCUGAGGAGGCAUCAAAUCAGAUAAAGAGAGUAAGAGAUUCCACCUACUUCUUUUUCACACAGCAAAUGAUGAGCCCGAGGGCAGACAGCAGUAAGACUCCACCUCCCACCGCUGCGAUGAGGAUGACAGUCAAGUCUGUGAGCAGAGACAUAAAGAGACAGAUGAAGAGGCAGCUGGGGUGAGCUCUGCAAUGAACUUGAGGCAUCUCCAAAAGCAGCUGCCAUCUCUCCAAAGGUGGAGCGCCAUACAUGUGGCUCCUUGUGUGCACAUGGGGCUCCUCAUAUCACAAAGUGUUUAUUUCCUUUCCUCUUGGAUCUGGGUCAGCCAAUAUAAGGCAACUGUGCCAGUUCUGGGCCUAACUUUUAAGAGGAUGUCAGCUUGCACUUUCUCUCUGAGAGAAAGCCAGCUACUAUGUAAGAAGUCUGACUAUGCUGAGACCACCAUGCUGUGAGAAAGCCCAAGCUAGCCAUGUAGAGAUUCCACCGGGGAAAAAAAUCAACCCAGUGAGAACCAAAGGCCAUAGACAUAUGUCUCCAGUUGAAUUCUCCAAGCCAUCCUCUCUACUUGUUCAAGGCUUCUGGUUGGGGCCCCAGAUAUCCUGGAGCACAGAUAAGAUACACUGCUGUGCCCUGUCUGAAUUCCUGAUCCAUAAAUCGUGGGUAAACAAAAUAGCUAUUGCCAAAGCCACCAAAUUUUGGGGUAGUUUGUAUAUAGCAAUGAACAAUUGAAACAAACUGAGGGACCUACCAGAUCAACUUCAAAGGCUACUCCUGGCCUACAACAGGUGUGUUCCACUGAUUGCCACAGCCUGUCUUGGAGAAGAGAAGAGCAGAGGAGGGUAGGAGAAAGCAGGGAGUCAAAAGUCAGAAGUGAGGCAGCUAAAGGGAGGGUUGUUUCCUUUGUGCUGUCCUUUUCCUGCAGCUGCACAAAGGAAAAAGAAAAUAAAUCAGAGGGGGAACCCUGUACCAAACAGCGAAUUAGAAUGUCUUGCUUAUUCACCAAGAAAACAAAAGGUGAGAUCCAAAGGAAAGAGGAAUGGAAAGAAAUGACAGAAAAUGAAUCUAAGAGAGGAAGAAAACCCAGGAUAUAAUCUAUGAGUGUGGAGAGGUUUUCACUUGUGGCAUUUGGCUCCCACCAGUUCUCUUGAGGCUAACCAGUUGUGUGGCUUGGAUGGACCUUCAAUCACUCUGACCCCCAGAAAGGGAAAGGGAAAAAAGCAGCCUCCACAGUCCCUUCUGAUUCUGACACUGUGAUGCUCGGUGCCUUCACUGAGUAAAGGGCAGACAUGGCCCCACCACAGCCUGCCCUGCCACACCUGCAUUCCCUUGCUUGAUACCCUUUAGUGGUGCCCAUGACUUUGAGGAAUAAAGGCAAACUCAUCAUCCUGGCUCCAAGGCCUCCCACUGAGGGUAUUUCAUGGAUUCCAACGUUUCACUGAGACUAAACAAAAAACCAUGUACCUGUCAGACUUUUCAGGUCCCCAUAUUUUAAUUCAUGACACCGAAUCCCAUGAUACUUUUAUGAGGUGGCUAUUAUUAUCUACUCUCUGUAGAUGAGGAAGAUCAUAGGUGUGAAGAGACUUCCCCUACGUAAAAGAGAGAUGAAUGGUAAAGGAUGCUGGUAGAUUGACUAAAAAAAAUCUAGGCUGGCCAAAAGAAUGCAGUCGAAGGGAUGGUGUGUGAGUUCCUAACCUAAAAGUAUCAAAAGACCUUAUAUGCCUCCUCCAGUCUCUUGUGGAUCUCUCUGCCUCUGCCAUGAAAACAGCCCAGGCUGGAGAACAAGAGAUCAUGUAGAGUCAAGCCAAGUAAUCUCAGUUGUCUCAGAUGAUCUUGGCUGAGCCUCAGCUUUUUGAAAGCACCAAGCUAAGAUCAGCAAAGUCCUCUAGCCAACCUGCAGCUGCCAGUAGGUGCAUGAAUGACUGAGCCCUGAUAAGUCCAGCUCAGACCAGAAUUGCCCAGCCAACGUUGGAGCAAUAAUAGAUGGCUGCUACUAAGCCACUAUGUUCUGGGAUGGUUUGUUACUCAGCACUAUUGAUGCAAUAGCUGACUGAUACAUGGACAGUCAGGACUCAAUCUGUGAUUCUGACUUGUCUCCAGGCUUGCUCUCUAUCCUCCAGCUGACAAUUUUUUGUUCAUCACUGUCCCCAAAGACCCUGAAGGCCCUUACCCACAGUCCUUGGGGUAAGUGUCACCGAGAAGAGCAGGUCUAGCUGCUUGCCGCUCGUGGGGCUGCAGUUAGAGAUGUUGACCCAGAAGCUGUGAUGGUGGAAGCUUGGCUUGGGGAGCACAUCCUCGUCCAGGCUGAAGAUCUCCUCAGCCCGGGUCCGCUGCUCCUGGAUGAUCAUGAAUGCGCGCCCUGUCUGGCAGACCACGCCGCUCCGCUCCUUAAAGAAAGUCAGGCAGGCCACCUGGUCUCUGGGCACGCUGAUGUUCCAGGACACAGAGGAUGGGCCAGAGUCCGGUGGGCCAGGACUUUAUCCAGUUUGAACAGAGGAUGGACAGAACAUCUGUCCAAAUCAGGUGUUUCUGACUCAGCAAAAGUGGCCUUGAGUCUUGUUGUCCUCAGUUCCUGAAGCUAUCACUGUGUAUCAAGGGAGCCCAGGGGCAGCCCCACACUGCAUCCCUAGAGUAGGUCUGGUCUCAGCCUUGCUUCAGCAAAUGGACUGAAACUGGGAAAUAAGAAGUAACACACAUAGACACAUUUCUCUUCCUGCCUGCCCAGAAAACCACUACCUCAAAGCCUUCUCUCUCAAGCAGAUGCACUCUUAUCCUUUGAGGCUGCAGAUGCCAGGGACAUGCUUCCAUUGCAGCAUCAUCAAGAUGGCUUGGGAUCAAGAUGACUUGGGCGCACUAUCCUCCCUACCAGGCCCUGAGCAACACCAUCAUUUCUCAUUCCUAAUUCCCAGGAGAGCAUGGCACAGAGAGGUGCUCAGCAUCUUCCUGAGACUUAUAGAAGAAGCCAAGGAGCUGAGAGCAGCAGAGACAAGAAACAGAGGGAGAGUGAGAAAGUCCCGGGCCAUUCCGCAACUCAAGCAGGAGAAAAACCCAGGAGUGGGGUGGCGUAGGCGGGGCCACCACAAGGAGCCCGUGCAUCAGGGGGCGCAGGCUGUUUCUGGAUCAUUCCACUGGGAAGGGGACAAAACCCAUCUUUUAUGACCCAUGUUCAGUUCUCAGUUGGAGUCAGGCUGGAGUGCAAUGGUGCGAUCUUGACUCACCGCAACCUCCACCUUCCGGUUUCAAGCAAUUCUCCUGUCUCAGCCUCCCAAGUAAUUGGGAUUACAGGCAUGUAAUCCCACCACGCCUGGCUAUUAAAUUAAUA